UCCUGAUAAAAUGCGGUGCCCGCGGGUAGAGUGCUUUCCACAGCGUUAGGCUUUUUGCAGGAGUCGUGCUCUGUCCGUCGCAGGUCUCUUGAAAGGAAUUUUGGAAAUCAUGUCAAAAAAACAAGGUGGAUGCCUAGGAGGACCUCAGUCAACGUUCUCUCUGACCAUGGCAGAUUUAGAUAGAGAGAGAGAGACAGAGAGAAAGGUCUUCCUUUCCAUUGGUUCACCCCCAAAAUGGCCGCUACAGCUGGCGCUGCGCUGAUCCGAAGCCAGAAGCCAGAUGGCUUCUCCUCAUCUCCCAGGAGCUGGAUGCCCAAUCCAGGUCUUCAAUGUGGAUGGCAAGGACCCAAGUACUUGAGCUGCUUCUCAGGGUACGUAUCAACAGGAAGCUGAAUUGUAAGCAGUAUGGGACUAGUACCCAGGGACUCCAACAGAGGAUUCAGGUAUCUCAACCACUGUGCCAGAUGACUGCCCCAGAUCCCACUUGUUAAUAUUGAGAAUUUAGAUUCAAUGUAUGUGGGCUAGCAGUGUGGCAUUGCAGUUUAAACUGCUGUCUGUAAUGCCAGCAUCCCAUAGGCACCAGUUCCAGUCCCAGCUGCUCCAUUUAUGAUCCAGCUCUCUGCUGAUGUGCCUGGAAAAGCAGCAGCAGAAGAACCAAGUGCUUGGGCCCCUGUACCCAUGUGAGAGACCCAGAGGAAACUCCUGGCUUAUGGCUUUGGCCUGGCCCAGCUUUGGCAGUUGUAGCCACUUGGAGAGUGAACCAGCUGGUGGAAGACAUCUACCUUCCACCCUUCCUCCCUCCCUCUCUCUCUCUAAUUUUUUUUCAAAUAAAUUAAUCUUUAAAAAAAGAGUCCACUUUUAUUAAAAAAAGAUUCAAUGUAUGAAUUUUGAGGGACACAUUAAGACCAUAGCACAGCAUUCAGAAGAAAGUACAUGAUAUAAAUUGAUAUGGAAAUGUUUAUUAUAUCUUAAGAAAAAAAUUCACCAAGCAGUAUAUGCAGUAUGUACAUAAUAGCAUUCUGUUUACUAAAUUACAAAUGUAAAAGUACAGAAAAGAUCUGGAAGGAUAGACAUCAAUCAGUUUUUAGUUUCUGAGAAGUUCUAUUUAAGGGAGUAACUUUAUUUUCGUGUGUGUACAAUUAGCAUUUAAUAAUGACUAUGAAUUACUAUUAUAAUUUAACACAAAUAGAAAAAUCACAAAUGUUAGCAAGACUAUGGAGUAAUUUGAACCCUCAUGAACUGCUGCUUCGAAUGAGAAAUGGGAUGGCCUCUUUUAUUUUAUUUUUUUUUUAUUUUGAAGUCAACAUGAUUUUAUUUCAUCACAAUAGAUUUUGACUUCACAGUGGUGCUUAUGACAUCACAAUUGAUUAGGACAUUAUAGUGUUAGGCUUUUGAUAUCACACUGGUGGUUUGCUACAUUCCAAUAAAUUAUAACAUCAAAGAGGUCUUUUUUUUUUUUUUUGACAGGCAGAGUGGACAGUGAGAGAGAGAGACAGAGAGAAAGGUCUUCCUUUUGCCGUUGGUUCACCCUCCAAUGGCUGCCGCGGCCGGCACGCUGCGGCCAGCACACCACGCUGAUCCAAUGACAGGAGCCAGGUACUUAUCCUGGUCUCCCAUGGGGUGCAGGGCCCAAGCACUUGGGCCAUCCUCCACUGCACUCCCUGGCCACAGCAGAGAGCUGGCCUGGAAGAGGGGCAACUGGGACAGAAUCCAGCGCCCCGACUGGGACUAGAACCCGGUGUGCCGGCACCGCAAGGUGGAGGAUUAGCCUAUUGAGCCGCGGCACCUGCCAAUCAAAGAGGUCUUUACAUCACAAAUCGUCAUGACAUAACAAUGGUAGCAUAAUGAUAUCACAAUGGAUUUUUACAACAUCACAAUAGACUUUGAGAUAACAAUCAUUUUUAAGAUGAUGUCACAAUUAAUUUUACAAUCAUAAUGGUUGUUUAUGAGAUGACAACUGAUUAUGACAUAAUUAUGGUUGCUUAUGACAACAAAAUGAUUUUAUAACAUCACAAUUAACUAUGAAAUCACAGUGGUUAUUUAUGACAUCACAAUAGAUUAUGGUAUAACAAUUUAAUGAGUGCAUGAUUGAUUAUGACAUCACAAUUUAAAUAUAUGACACAGUGGGGAAUUAUGAGAUCACAGUAUUUUUUUAUGUCAUCAAAAUAAUUAUUGUGACAUCAAAAUUGUGAUGUCACAGUGGUAGCUUCAUGAUAUCACAAUGAUUUUUUUUAUAUUCUUUUUUUUUUUUUUUGACAGGCAGAGUGGACAGUGAGAGAGAGAGACAGAGAGAAAGGUCUUCCUUUUGCCGUUGGUUCACCCUCCAAUGGCUGCCGCGGCCGGCACGCUGCGGCCAGCACACCACGCUGAUCCAAUGACAGGAGCCAGGUACUUAUCCUGGUCUCCCAUGGGGUGCAGGGCCCAAGCACUUGGGCCAUCCUCCACUGCACUCCCUGGCCACAGCAGAGAGCUGGCCUGGAAGAGGGGCAACUGGGACAGAAUCCGGCGCCCCAACCGGGACUAGAACCUGGUGUGCCGGCGCCGCAAGGCGGAGGAUUAUCCUAGUGAGCUGCGGCGCCGGCUCACAAUGAUUUUUAGCUUAUAAUGUUGGAUUAUGAAAUCACAAUGGUUUCAUGAUAACAUAAUUCUAUAUAAUAAUUAUUCUGGCUCUAAAACAUAUUGUCCAUGUAACAAUGGGCUACUUCUUUUGUGUGUCUAUGAUAAACUAAAGGUAAACAUACAUGAUUCAGUUAUAAUUGCUAUACCAAAUGCCCAACCAUAUCCCAUUUCCACUUAUUUUCCCUGAUUAUCUGCUUUUCUCUUUAGCAUUCUCUAAUAUUAAUGUUUGUUAAUUAUAUUAAAUCAUAGUUGUUACUAAUAGUAAGUAUGUCCUUAUUUAACAUGCUUGUUGUCCAUCUCUCCAUUGACUAGAAUGAAAAUUCCACAAAAAGAUGGACUUUGUUCAUUGGUCUAUCGUUAGGACUUAGAAUGGUGCAUGGCAACACGCUGGCACUGAGUCUCUAUUGGUUAAGAGAAUGAGGCCAUCAUACAGUGACUUAAGAGGAGAUAGAGUCUAUAUGCUACCAGACUUGUGCUGAUACUACAGGCAAAGGGGCUUAACUGAAUAACCCAGUUUUAUUGUCAUUUUAAAAAUAAGUUACAUUUCCUUCUAUCUCAGAGCCUUACCAUAUACUCUGUGUUCAGAAAUCUGUUCUCAUCUCUGCCCAAAUCCAGUCUCAUCCUUCAAAGCCUCGACAGCCUAUCACCUCUUCCUGGGUACUCUUGCUCUCCAGACUUGCUAAGACUUCGGCUUUUUACUUUUACGGCCCCUGAAUUCUUAAUGACACUCAUUACAAUUAUCAUUCAGUAACUAGUAAGUUAUUUAGUCAGUUUUUGUACAUCUUUCAUUCCGUUGUCUCUAGAAACUAGUGCAGAAUCUCAUACAUAUGGUUGCUGAAAUGAUGGUACUGAAGGGAAUAGCAAAUGAAUACAGUGACCCCACAUUUGAAGCUUGUGCAUUGGAAGAGAUGUGGAAUAUGCACAUAAACAGCCAUCCUCCAUGCAUGUGGAUGAUGAGGCCAAGAGCAAACUUUUCACUUACAUUGUUGGCUGUGUUGAAGUGGAUGAUCUCGUUGGCCAUGAUCCUAAUGUGAGAGUUUGUAAUGAGAGUGGCCACUUUAAAGUACAAUGAGGAGAGAAAAACAAGGACAAUUAGAAUAAUUCAGAGAACCCUGCUUUUCUUAUUUUUCUCAAUGGAAAAGACCUCUUAUAAAUUUAUUAAAUAAAUCAUGGAGGCCAGCGCCGCGGCUCAUUAGGUAAUCCUCUGCCUGCGGCGCCGGCACCCCGGGUUCUAGUCCCAGUCGGGGCGCCAGAUUCUGUCCCGGUUGCUCCUCUUCCAGUCCAGCUCUCUGCUGUGGCCCGGGAAGGCAGUGGAAGAUGGCCCAAGUGCUUGGGCCCUGCACCUGCAUGGGAGACCAAGAGGAAGCACCUGGCUCCUGGUUUUGGAUUGGCACAGCGCGCCAGCCAUAGCAGCCAUUUGAGGGGUGAACCAACAGAAGGAAGACCUCUCUCUGUCUCUCUCUCUCUCUCACUGUCUAACUCUGCCUGUCAAAAUAAAUAAAUAAAUAAAUAAAUCAUGGAAGCUCUGCUGUUACUAGUUUUGUGGCUCUGAAGUUUUCUUUGAUAAUGGACUUAUUACUCAUGGCUGUUAGUUUGCUCAGAGCUACAAAGAAAGAAAAAUGUUAACCAUUUAUUAGCAUCAAGAUACUGAAAUUCAAGAGGAGGUCACAUAUCUGGAAACCAGGAGAAAUAAUCUGCAGUAAGUUUUGAGACAACCUAAGUAAAUGGGGCAGUGUAGUAAUAAAAGCUCCAAGAGUUUUUGAAAGCCCUGGAAAGGGGCCAAACGUCUUCUUUAGUCAGUGAUGAACACACAACAACCCCCUAUUGCAGGAGUCUCUUGAAGCAAUUAUAGAUACUUAAUCAAGAAAAGUAAAUGACCUACAGUCUAGUUUUGGUGAAAUCUAGAGUGAGAUGAAUCUGAUCCUCAAAGUAGCAAGCACACAGCAAAUUCGCACUCUGUGCAGAGUCUAUACUGAAAACCCAAUAUGUACUGCUUAAUCCCUCAGAGGCUUUGCAGGUUAGGGACUACCAUCAACCCAUAUUGUAUGUGGUAGCACUGAGAUUCUUUUUAACAAUUCAUUUCUUGAAAGGCAGAGUUACAGUGAUGCAGAGACAGUGAGAGGAGAGAGAGAGAGAGGGAGAGAGAGAGAAUCUUCUAUCUGCUGGUUCACUUCCAAAAUGGCUGAAACAGCCAGGGUUGGGCUGAUCUGAAGCCAAGAGCCAGGAGCUUCUUUUGGGUCUCUGAUGUGGGUGUUGCGGCCAAGUACUUGGGCCAUAUUCCACUACUUUUCCAGGGGAUGGCCUCUUUUAAAGACAGUCUUGUGCUCCCUCAAAAAAAUUAAGCAUAGAAUUAACAUAUAAUCCAGCAAUUCCACCUCUAGGGUGCAUAUCCAGAAGGAUUGGAAACAGGGUCUUUAGAUACUUAGACACUGAGUUUCCAAACAUCAUUAUUUGUAAUAGCUGAAAUUAGGUGCAACCUAAGUGCUCACUGAUAGAUGAACAGAUGAACAACACAAAAGUAUAAGCAUACAACAGGCUGGUGUCCAGCCCUCAACAGGAAGAAAUCUGGACACAUGGAUGAACCUUGAGGACAGUACGCUCAGUGAACUAAAGCAAUUACAGGACAAAUACUGUAGGAAUUCACUUAUAUAAGAGACUUACAACAGUUUAAUUCAUGGGGACAAAGUAGAAGAUUGUUACCAGGAACUGGGAGGCAUGAGGAGGUAGGCGAGAAAUGAGGAGAUAGUGUUUAAUGGAUCAAGAAUCUCCAUUUUGCAAGAUGAAAAUGUAGGGAGAGGGAUGAUAGUGAUGGUUGUACAGCAGUGCAAACGUACUUAAUGCUACAGAAUGUACACGUAAAAGUGGCUAAGAUCGUAAAUUCUGGGCUGUGCAUAUUUAUCACAACAGCAAAAACUUAAAAGAAUAGCCAAUGGAAAUAAAAGUGAUGGAUCUUCAUUGUAAAAUGAACGCAAACACUAUGAAAGUGUAUCAAGUCAGAAUCAAGAUGUUCUGGUCCUCCUAAGUCUUCCCUCCCAUAAUUCACUGGCAGAUGAGAUCAACCCGAAGUUAAUCCUGUCAGGUUUUCUCGUGUGUUCACAUGCAUGUAGACACACACACACACACACAAAAUUUUUUGUUUUACAGAAAAAUGAGGUUGUAUUAUAUACUAUGUGUCUAUUUGUGUUCAUUUCCUGAUAUACCAUAGGUAUUUUCUUCCUGUCUCAGACUAAGUGUCCAUUUAAAUUAUUUUCUGAACAAGUCACUAGUCAGGCCUCAAUCUCAAGGUGUCCUUCUUGGAGAGACUAGUGUUGUGUCCAACACAUAAUAGGUAGUGUGGUAUGCUGAAUCAGUGGGAAACAUGUCCUUGGAGGCAAAAUGAAAACCCUGCUGUAUGUUUAAAAGCUUCUUUACAAGUUACUCACUCUUAGGGGCAGGCAAUGUUGCAGGUUAAGGCACUACUUGGCCUGCCCACAUCCCACACUGGAAUGCCUGCGAUGCAGUCCCACCUCUGCUUCUGAUCCAGCUGCCUGCUAAUGCACCUGCGAAACGUGGAAGAUGGCCCAAGUACUUGGGUUCCUGACACCCACUUGAGAGAGAGCCCCAGGUGGAGUUCCUGGCUCCUGGCUUUGCCCUGGUCUAGCCCUAGCUAUUGGCAUUUAGGGAGUGAACCAACAGAUGGAAGAUCUCUCUCCAUGUCUUUCUCUCUCCCUCUGCCACUGUCUUUUAAAUAAAUAAACUGUUUGAUAAAGUUACUUAAGACAUGGCCGGCACCGCCACUCACUAGGCUAAUCCUCCGACUGCAGCGCUGGCACCCCGGGUUCUAGUCCCGGUUGGGGUGCCGGUUCUGUCCCGGUUGCUCCUCUUCCAGUCCAGCUCUCUGCUGUGGCCCAGGAAGGCAGUGGAGGAUGGCCCAAGUGCUUGGGCCCUGCACCCGCAUGGGAGACCAAGAGGAGGCAUCUGGCUCCUGGCUUCAGAUAGGUGCAGCGCGCCAGCCGUGGUGGCUAUUUGGGGGGUGAACCAAUGGAAAAGGAAGACCUUUCUCUCUCUCUCUCUCUCUCUCUCUCUCUCUAACUCUGCCUGUAAAAAAAAAAAAUGUUACUUAAGACAGAUGGUUCAUAAGCACCGCAUUUAGAUAUUUAGAUUCUCGACAUAAAAAUCAAACCUUAUUCUGGAAGGAUUCAUUUCCCUUGGGGACCCCGCCCCCACCUGCCAAGGCUCCCUUUUGUUGAUCAGUGGCUAUGCAGAGAGGGUAGCCUAGGGAACUGAAACCUGGAAAUCCUCACUCUCUUGCGGGUCUGGGUGCUGAGAGAGUUUUCAACUUUGGAAAAACUACUGUAUUUCCAUUUUUCUGCCUUGGAUGGAUAAUAGCAACUCUUUCUGAGGAGCUUCCCAGUGCACAGCUGAGAGCCUCGCACACUGCAUUUCGUGUCUUUGUCCACCUGGCUCCUUCCUGUCCCUGCAUUUCUU